GCUGGUCUUAACAUGUACUGUACGAGGACGGCGUCGUCGCCGUUGUCUCGAGUGUCCGCUUUGAUGAGUCUAAUGUCGGCCGGCGGCGUAGUGCCGGGGACUCCGAUUAUGGGUCCGAUGCCGAUGAGGAGGAGGAUGUUCGCACUAACUUGCCUGGUGAGGGGUCGCUGCCUAGGGCUGGCGAAGGAACAUCAGGCAAUACCGUCGGCGAGGGAUCGCCGCCUUUGGGUGGCGAGGGGGCGCCGGCUGGGGCUGGACCUUCCAGCAGUGCGAACGUGCAAGAUAACACUCCGCCUGAUGUGGAAAUGGCAGGGACCCGGUACCCAGUUAGAGAGUGUAAACGCCCUGGCGAGUGGUGGCGAAACGAGCCUGGUCGCACUGUUACUGGUCGCAUUAAUGCUGCUUUUUCUGCUGUCAUUCCUGAACCGAAUUCGUUUGCGGAAGCAAUUGCGAGUCCACAUGCAGACGAUUGGCGGCGUGCGAUGGACGAGGAGAUCGCCGCCCAGAUGGCUAACAGUACUUGGGAGCUGAAAACGCCACCUCCAGGUACUCAUUUACUGCCGUGUCGUUGGGUGUAUAAGGUUAAGUACAACGAUGACGGCAGCGUGGAGCGUUUUAAGGCGCGAUUGGUUGCAAAGGGUUUCGAGCAACGCGAGGGGAUUGAUUAUGGGGAGUUGUUUGCACCUACCUCACGUGGUUCGUCAUUACGUGCUUUAUUAGCAGUUGCCGCAGCGCGGAACAUGACGGUACACCAGCUUGAUGUGUCUACUGCAUUUUUGAACGGCGAGUUGAAGGAGGAGUUGUGGAUGCAGCAACCACCUGGGUAUGAAUCCAGUGACCGGUCGCUUGCGUGGAAGCUGGAGAGGUCUAUUUACGGUUUGAAGCAGGCACCCCGUUGCUGGUAUGAAAAGCUAUCGGCAGAGUUCGCCAAGCUGGGUCUUUAUCCUUCGAAGUCUGAUCCGGCGAUGUUCGUUAAGACGGACGAGCGUGGGGUCGUUAUUGCUUUGGUGCAUGUAGAUGAUACCAUUGUUGCAUCAGAAGACCCAGACAUGGUCCGGGCAAUUAAAGCCGCAAUUGCGAAGGUCUUCAAGGUGCGUGACCUUGGAGAAGCGAAGGUGUUUGGGGGCAUGGAAAUUUCGGAGGGAAAAAUCGGGUGAGAUAGUGUUGUCGCAGCAUAGGUAUAUUGAGCAGCUGUUGGAGCGUCAUAGGAUGGUUGAUGCCAAGCCGAGGUCUACCCCUUUGCCUCCGGGCUUUAGGUACACUCCUAAGGGGGACGGAGAGGAGCUGCUGGGCAAUCCCACGGAGUAUAGGGCUUUGGUGGGAGAAUUGAACUAUCUGGCGACGAACACGCGGCCUGACAUUUCGUAUGCCUUGAGCGUUUUGUCCCGGCAUAUGGCCACACCUACGAAGACUGCCAUGAACUUGGCCACUGGCGUUCUGCGUUACCUGGCGGGUACUCGCGAACUAGGAUUGCGUUUUGGGGGUGUUGGCGGUGUUGCAAUGUCCGGGUACAGUGAUUCGGACUGGGCAGGAGACCCAGUUACGAGGCGUUCUACGUCCGGUUACGUAUUCACUCUUAAUGGGGCUGCGAUUAGUUGGAGCAGCCAACUUCAACGUACUGUGGCGGCUUCGUCGGUGGAGGCCGAGUACCAAGCUACAGCGGCGGCUGUUCGUGAAGCUUUGUGGCUUCGCAAGCUGAUGGUCGAUUUGGGCUUGCCUGAGAGCGCGGUGAAAAUCCAGACAGACUCCCAGGGGGCGCUUAGCUUGGGAAACAACCCGAUUACGUCUGCUCGGUCGAAACACAUCGACGUGCAGCACCACAUAGUGCGUGAGAGGGUGAAUAGCGGGGAGGUGCAGUUGGAGUACUGCCCUACAGAGUGGAUGGUAGCGGAUGCGCUCACGAAGGCACUGGGAGAAGUGAAGUUCAAACGGUGCAGAGAAGCUAUGGGCCUUGUGUGAAGUGCCCAUUGGCGUAGCAAAUGUGCUACUGUGAGUUGGGAUAUGUCCCGAGGGGGCGUGUUGAAGGGCGGUCCUAUCCCAACGUAGAUAAUUGGUAGUUAGGCGAUGAUUCCACCAUGAUAGGCGAUGCCUCGGACGUGCAUCGACCUUGCCUCGGCCGUGCCUAGACCUUGCCUCGGCCAUGCCUAGACUUGCCUCGGCCGUACCUCGACCUUGCCUCGGGUCUCUCGGCCGCGUAUCUCGGACGUGACCUCAGGUCCAGGGAUGGUGGACAUCUGUACGAUACUUCCAUUGGUACUGGUAUAUAAGGCACGAGUUGUGCUAGUCUUUGUAUCUCAUCUUUGUAUGGAUCGGUAUUCCUCAGUAGGAAUCUCCUAAAGUCUUCCAGCCGUUUACCACUCACCUACCGAUUGUAAUACUUAUAUCGCGACCAGUCUCCUUGCCUCCUUCAUAUUCUUAACAGUUGCUUGUUACUGUGUCCUGAGCUGCUGUUAGCCGGCCCCCGGCUACCAGAAGUAGAAGCGCCGAACGUUGCACCGCCGACCGCCAACCGCCGACAGACGCCGACAGGCUGCCGACUCGGUAGGCUUGCCCGACCCACCGUUAGCCGUCUCGAUUGAGAGAAGCUUUGCUGUGACGUUCGCCAUGUCCAAAUCGCCGUCGCGCAUUAGUAAUGUAGUCGUCACCACGCUGUACCGACUGGGUAGACCAACUAGGACGGUGUACGCCAGCUCGGAGUCGUUAAUUACGUGGCCGACACCCAACAAGUCCGUUUUCAGCUGCCUUGCACGCGCAAAGUACAUCGGANNNNNNNNNNNNNNNNNNNNNNNNNNNNNNNNNNNNNNNNNNNNNNNNNNCUCAUAUACCAGUGAAUGGUAACCACAGUAAUAGGACCCAACGGGGUCCGGCGCUUUGCUGGUCUUAACAUGUACUGUACGAGGACGGCGUCGUCGCCGUUGUCUCGAGUGUCCGCUUUGAUGAGUCUAAUGUCGGCCGGCGGCGUAGUGCCGGGGACUCCGAUUAUGGGUCCGAUGCCGAUGAGGAGGAGGAUGUUCGCACUAACUUGCCUGGUGAGGGGUCGCUGCCUAGGGCUGGCGAAGGAACAUCAGGCAAUACCGUCGGCGAGGGAUCGCCGCCUUUGGGUGGCGAGGGGGCGCCGGCUGGGGCUGGACCUUCCAGCAGUGCGAACGUGCAAGAUAACACUCCGCCUGAUGUGGAAAUGGCAGGGACCCGGUACCCAGUUAGAGAGUGUAAACGCCCUGGCGAGUGGUGGCGAAACGAGCCUGGUCGCACUGUUACUGGUCGCAUUAAUGCUGCUUUUUCUGCUGUCAUUCCUGAACCGAAUUCGUUUGCGGAAGCAAUUGCGAGUCCACAUGCAGACGAUUGGCG
rnacentral:lncRNA from 1 species